CGGGAUAACACCUGGAAACAGAUGCUAAUACCGGAUAACAACAGAUGAUGCCUAUCAACUGUUUAAAAGAUGGUUCUGCUAUCACUCUUGGAUGGACCUGCGGUGCAUUAGCUAGUUGGUAGGGUAACGGCCUACCAAGGCGAUGAUGCAUAGCCGAGUUGAGAGACUGAUCGGCCACAUUGGGACUGAGACACGGCCCAAACUCCUACGGGAGGCAGCAGNU
rnacentral:rRNA from 1 species